CUCCCUCGCACGACGCCUUCCCUACAGUUGCCCGACCCUUCUUUUCUGCAAGGAAUGUCCUCGGACCCCUCCCCAAGGCUGGUUGCCCACGAUAUGCCGUCCCGAGCCUGUAACAGGACCUCGCCGGACGUUGCAAGCUGGAUCUAUCGUGUUCUCUUGUUGUCGGCUCCUAGACGACCCAGCCAUGUCGAGGGAAGAAGGUUCGGAACUUAACCCUACGAUUUCUCCGGUUUCAGUCUUGCGCCCAGUCGUUCGACCCGCCUUUUAAGUUUUGUCAAUGUGUUGCUCGGAGGCAUUCCCAUUGAAAAAUGGGAAUAACGAUGGGCGACGCUGAGGAAGACCGAAGGACGGCGAGAACUUUCCAGUCACCUUUGGGUGUGUGAAAGGGAUGAGCCAUGAGUCAUUUGGUAAGAGCCUCUGGCCUGAGGACGCUCGUCAGCUCGGAACGCUGGAACCUGGACGCCGGCCACCAUUAAACUAUCCCGGGAGGUGUGAUCAGCUGGAGGACGCAUGCCGUUGUCACCCUGCCAUUGGCUCGACCGCUGUGUCGUAUCGCCGGCCAGAUCCGAGAGUUGGGCACAAAUCUCGCUUCAUACAAUCAGUCUUGACAGCAUUUCACCACGCAUCCUCGACCUUGUCUUGCCUGAACCGCUGUGCUCAGCUCAGCGGCGCAAGGGUCGAUAGGCUCCAUACGGAAAUGCUGCAAUAGCUUGAUCAUCAUGCGAGACUGCAAAGCCUUCGGUCCUCUCGGUUCUGACUUUUCACUUGGCAUGUCAUCAGUGGUAGUUUGACAAUAGCUUGUCGUGCUUGCUCAGUCCGCUCCAGGGACACACUGCAGCCAAUGCUCCAUGUGUGCGAUGCAGUCGCAUCUAGUUUGGCUAGGCGCAUUAGCUCUCCAUCGUUUGCUCCGUCCAACGAGCAGGAGGGACGCCGGUACCUGCUGUGCUUCUCGAUAGAACAUGGCGUUUCCUCUAGUAUCUUCCUGCAAAGGAAGGAUUUGAGAUGACAGUGCGAUUUUUAUGGAUGUUUUUUGUUUGCACGUCAAUGCCCCCCUAAGGCUCGCUGAUGUGAGACCGUUGGGGAGGACACAAAAACUAGUCCUUGUUGGCAGUGCGCCACAAACAGGAGGAGUCUUGGUUGAUCGGAUGCGGCUGCUUGGAUCUCAAUCUUCAGCAUGAUCAUCUGCCUGUCGAUGACGGUAUCCUAUCUCAGCUUGUUUGAUUGCGCGUCUGCGGGAAGUGUUCUUGUUUUUGUUGGAAGCAGGGCCGGGACCCAUCUCGAGUUGGAGUCAAAGAUUCGUUCUUGUCCGGUGCUGUGGGCAACCAGAACGUCGGAGUACUCCCCGUAGCGUGCAUCAUUCCUGCGAAUGUUUGCGGCACUAGGAUUAAGGGCAGGCCAAGUGUUGGUAGUCCUGGGUUGCCUCUGUACCAGAAAUGGUACAAGGGCAGCCCCCCCCAAAUCUGAGG
rnacentral:telomerase_RNA from 1 species